ensembl:lncRNA
AUUUUUUUUCUCCCCUUCUUCACAUAUAUUAGAGGAUUACGGUGAUUUUCUCCUGUAUCUCCACCAUCCUCCAUUUUCCCGGACGUAAACAAAAUAAAGCAGCGGUUUAUGUUCAGCCAGCUGCUUGCAGAAACCCUGCAUGUCCACCUGAGCUGCGAACCGUCUCCCUCAAAGUUUCUGCGGCCGGCAGGAUGUCUUUCCCCUCGUCUUUUGGCACACAGGUCGCAGCCAUAAUGGACGUCCUAGCCAAGGCAGCAGUGGCCGAAAUAACCAAGCUUGUGGAGGACGGGACCGUCGUUUUGAGGCUGGAGAUGUGUCGGAGAGACGGCGAGAUCCAGGAACUCAAAAGAAGUUUGCAGCUGAUGGAGGCUGAGCUCUGCAAAGCGCAGGGAGCCGCCACGACACGAGUUUCAGAGGAGAAACAGGAGCAGGCAGCUGUCGGGACGCAGGGGUCCCAUCAAGCUGACCAAGAGGAUCAGGAGACAUGUGCCACAUUUAUGGAAUCAAAGACUGCUGUUUGUGAGCCUGUGCACCAAACAGAAGAAAGCAGAGACUGAGGUCAACAGUGAAAUCGGAGCCAGCGACCAUCAUGCCACCCAAGAAACAACAGAUAACACAACGGGACAAGCAAUAAUACUGUGUGCUUUGAACUGGAGGAACUAGAUAUCCACCCUGGCUUCCCAGCGUGGCCUGUUUGAGGAAAGCUCUGUUGAAGCGACGCAUGCAGCGCAGCAGUGCUUACAGAUUUCUCCUCUCACACAGAGCAAUUUCCCGCUCGGACUAACACAGAAACUUCCCACAAGUCUUCGCCAUCCGCGGCGGAGAAAGUCGCAGAUGAUGCCUUCAGUGCACCGAUAAAAGUAGAGGUAGAGUGCGACCGGUUGUGUUGUGAGUACCACGCCGGAGUCCAUGCAUUAAUGAACAAUUCAGACAUGUACACAACCCUGGAGUCAGUGGGAUCAGAGCUUGCAGCUACAUUGCAACAGCGGGACCUUCAUUAGCACCUCCACAGGUGCAGAGAUCACAGAGGGCACAUUGGGCUCAGUCACACUGCAUGCCGAAUGAUCAUAUCCUCAGCAGAAACAGCUGGAGAGUGAAGAGGCCGCUCAACGUGUGGCGAGCAAACCAAAAACUGUUCACCUGCUCAGUGUGCAGCAAGAGUUUCCCCCGUCUAAGCCACUGGAGGAGCACAAGUUGUCCCACGGCGCCCUCAAGCCGUUCAGAUGUCUCGAAUGCGGGAAGUCUUUCACUCAGAAGACAGACUCAAUACGCACCAAAGCGUGCACACAGGAGAGAGACCUUUCAGUUGUAAGAGCUGCGCAAGAUGUUUCGAGGCAGACAACUGCCUGAGACACGAGCGGUUUCACAGCGGACUGAAGCCGUACAGUUGCGGGCAGUGCGGCAAAAGUUUCACCGUCCUCGGUAACCUCAAAAUCCACCAGGAGAUUCACCUGCGAGGAAGAUAGUGCACGAUGUAAUGCUGCUCUCAGUGACAAACGUCUAGACACUUUGCACAAGCCAUUACUGUAUCCUGCCGUUUUGUUGCUUAAUGGGUUCCUCUGUUGUUGAAAUGUAAGAUUUUUUGAUGGAAGGUCGUCUUUCAAAUAAAAAAUGGCACUGAAUGCAGCUGUAGUCAUGUCUGCCUCCAGUUUGGGGAGGAAGGGGAUUCAAUGCAAUUAUGCUGUAUGUAUUCUGAAUGAAAACCCCAGUAAUGGUGCUGAACAGUGUAUCACAGAUGAGGGUAUAACCACAUAUUCUUUGCAUUCUCCCCCCAAUAUUGCAAAA